rnacentral:rRNA from 1 species
GAGUUUGAUCCUGGCUCAGGAUGAACGCUGGCGGCGUGCUUAACACAUGCAAGUCGAGCGCGGUCCCUUUGGUGCUUGCACCAAAGAAGACUGAGCGGCGGACGGGUGAGUAACGCGUGGGUAACCUGCCCUAUACACAUGGAUAACAUGCUGAAAAGCAUACUAAUACAUGAUAACGUACACUGAUGGCAUCUUCGGUGUAUCAAAGCGUUAGCGGUAUAGGAUGGACCCGCGUCUGAUUAGCUAGUUGGUGGGGUAAAAGCCUACCAAGGCCACGAUCAGUAGCCGACCUGAGAGGGUGAUCGGCCACAUUGGAACUGAGACACGGUCCAAACUCCUACGGGAGGCAGCAGUGGGGAAUAUUGCACAAUGGGCGAAAGCCUGAUGCAGCAACGCCGCGUGAACGAUGAAGGUCUUCGGAUCGUAAAGUUCUGUCGCAGGGGAAGAUAAUGACGGUACCCUGUGAGGAAGCACCGGCUAACUACGUGCCAGCAGCCGCGGUAAUACGUAGGGUGCUAGCGUUAUCCGGAUUUACUGGGCGUAAAGGGUGCGUAGGUGGUCUUUCAAGUCGGUGGUUAAAGGCUACGGCUCAACCGUAUUAAGCCGCCGAAACUGGAAGACUUGAGUGCAGGAGAGGAAAGUGGAAUUCUCAGUGUAGCGGUGAAAUGCGUAGAUAUUGAGAAGAACACCAGUAGCGAAGGCGGCUUUCUGGACUGUAACUGACACUGAGGCACGAAAGCGUGGGUAGCAAACAGGAUUAGAUACCCUGGUAGUCCACGCCGUAAACGAUGAGUAUUAGGUGUCGGGGGUUACCCCCCUCGGUGCCGCAGUUAACGCAUUAAAUACUCCGCCUGGGGAGUACGCACGCAAGUGUGAAACUCAAAGGAAUUGACGGGGACCCGCACAAGUAGCGGAGCAUGUGGUUUAAUUCGAAGCAACGCGAAGAACCUUACCUAAGCUUGACAUCUCUCAGAUCGGUAGUUAAUCCUACCUUCCCUUCGGGGCUGAGAUGACAGGUGGUGCAUGGUUGUCGUCAGCUCGUGUCGUGAGAUGUUGGGUUAAGUCCCGCAACGAGCGCAACCCUUGUCUUUAGUUGCCAGCAUUAAGUUGGGCACUCUAGAGAGACUGCCAGGGAUAACCUGGAGGAAGGUGGGGAUGACGUCAAAUCAUCAUGCUCCUUAUGCUUAGGGCUACACACGUGCUACAAUGGGUGGUACAGAGGGUUGCCAAACCGCAAGGUGGAGCUAAUCCCUUAAAGCCAUUCUCAGUUCGGAUUGUAGGCUGAAACUCGCCUACAUGAAGCUGGAGUUACUAGUAAUCGCAGAUCAGAAUGCUGCGGUGAAUGCGUUCCGCGGGUCUUGUACACACCGCCCGUCA